CAUUGACUGGUUGUGCACAUAAAGAAUUCUUCCGUCAAUGUUGUAAUAGCACUGAAUUGCCUUACUUCGUUCUUGUCUCUAGUUUCGAAGGUUUCGGGAGGCAAGAACAAUGGGAUUGAAGGUGAUUCUGGCUGCAAAACCGGACAGGUUUGAUGAUUUAGGAAAAACCAGCUGUAUGGUGAGCCUACAGAUGAGGUCUCUUAGGAAAGACUAAUGGUUCACCCCGGCGUCGGGUGUGCACGUAAUAAAUUGUACCUGGCGUCGGGGUUAAAAUAAAUGUACAGAACACGGCUUUUGCAUUUUUUAACAACUAUUAAACAAGUAUUACAAGAUUUAAGUACAAACAACUGAAAUCACUCAACCGUUUGAGUAUGCUAUAGGCAUAUGCAUGAUUGAAUUAUUUAUUAUGUUUUACAUUGUUUACUCUCAGUGUUUUAUACAAUAAAUCAUAAAUGUUUAUACCAUUUUGUAACAUUUUAAUGAAAAAUAAACAAUAAUAACCACAAAA